rnacentral:rRNA from 1 species
AGUGAACGCUGGCGGUAGGCCUAACACAUGCAAGUCGAACGGCAGCACAGUAAGAGCUUGCUCUUACGGGUGGCGAGUGGCGGACGGGUGAGGAAUACAUCGGAAUCUACUUUUUCGUGGGGGCUAACGUCGGGAAACUUACGCUAAUACCGCAUACGACCUACGGGUGAAAGCAGGGGAUCUUCGGACCUUUCGCGAUUGAAUGAGCCGAUGUCGGAUUAGCUAGUUGGCGGGGUAAAGGCCCACCAAGGCGACGAUCCGUAGCUGGUCUGAGAGGAUGAUCAGCCACACUGGAAGUGAGACACGGUCCAGACACCGACGGGGAGCAGCAGUGGGGAAUAUUGGACAAUGGGCGCAAGCCUGAUCCAGCCAUACCGCGUAGGUGAAGAAGGCCUUCGGGUUGUAAAGCCAUUUUGUUGGGAAAGAAAAGCAGCAGGUUAAUACCCCGCUGUUCUGACGGUACCCAAAGAAUAAGCACCGGCUAACUUCGUG